rnacentral:rRNA from 1 species
GGCGGCGUGCCUAACACAUGCAAGUCGUACGAGAAAGCCCGGUUCGGGCUGGUGAGUAAAGUGGCGCACGGGUGAGUAACGCGUGGAUAAUCUGCCCUUAAGUGUGGAAUAACGUACCGAAAGGUGCGCUAAUACCGCAUAAUGCCUGGCAACACAAGUUGUCCGGCCAAAGAAGGCCUCUGUUUACAAGCUUUCGCUUCAGGAUGAGUCCGCGUACCAUUAGCUUGUUGGUGGGGUAAUGGCCUACCAAGGCUGCGAUGGUUAGCUGGUCUGAGAGGAUGAUCAGCCACACUGGAACUGAGACACGGUCCAGACUCCUACGGGAGGCAGCAGUGAGGAAUAUUGCGCAAUGGGGGCAACCCUGACGCAGCAACGCCGCGUGAGUGAGGAAGGUUUUCGGACUGUAAAGCCCUGUCGAGCGGGAAGAAGUGUACCAUGGCUAAUAUCCAUGAUAUUUGACGGUACCGCUAGAGGAAGCACCGGCUAACUCCGUG